UAAUACUCCAUAGAUUGGAGACACUGGAAUGUUCUUUAGUCGAAAGUUCUGGCGCCUUAGGAUGGAUCUGCGGUCGAUUAGGUUGUUGUUGGGGUAACGGCCCAACAAGCCUGUAAUCGAUACGGGUUGUGGGAGCAAGAGCCCGGAGAUGGAAUCUGAGACACGAUUCCAGGCCCUACGGGGCGCAGCAGGCGCGAAAACUUUACAAUGCAGGAAACUGUGAUAAGGGAACUCCGAGUGCCCGUAUACGCGGGCUGUCCAGGUGUUUAAAAAUCAUCUGAAGAAAGGGCCGGGCAAGACCGGUGCCAGCCGCCGCGGUAAUACCGGCGGCUCGAGUGGUGGCCACUAUUAUUGGGCUUAAAGCGUCCGUAGCUGGACCGAUAAGUCUCUUGGGAAAUCCGCCGGCUCAACCGGCGGGCGUCUAAGGGAUACUGUUAGUCUAGGGACCGGGAGAGGUGAGAGGUACUCCGGGGGUAGGAGUGAAAUCCUGUAAUCCCCGGGGGACCACCGAUGGCGAAGGCAUCUCACCAGAACGGCUCCGACAGUGAGGGACGAAAGCUGGGGGAGCAAACGGGAUUAGAUACCCCGGUAGUCCCAGCCGUAGACAAUGUGCGUUAGGUGU
rnacentral:rRNA from 1 species